GUUGCUGACCUUGGUUUCAUUUCCUGUUGCUGUGAUAAUUGCAGGCUCAUAGCAGGGAAGCUGAAGGAGCAGGAAGUGGAAACAGCUGGUCACACGCCGAGCCAACAGCAGAGAGCAACAAAGUAACUAUCUUUCCUAAGCUCGCCACAGACCAUUCUAAUGCAGACAACCCCUCUUGGGACCGCUCUGGUAAUCCUAAAUUGCAUCAAGUUGACAAGCAAGCCAUUGGAAUUGUGACUAGCUUUCUGUUUUGAGCAUUCUCUGCGUCUUUCGCUGAUUUGGAUGUGAUGCGUGGAGUUCACAUGGGUGCACGGAGAAACCCUAUCCCCGUCCUUUGAGGCAGGGUCUCUCAUUGACCUUGGAGAACAUCUGACUGGCCAGAAGCAGCACCAGGGAUGCUCCCAUCUCUGCCCUCCCAAUGCUGAGGCUGUCGGCACGGCACCCACCACCUUGGGCUGGAGAUCUUUGAGUGAGACCUGGGGAUUGGACUCAGGUCCUCAUGCUUUCAAGACCCGAUCUCUGCAAAUUAGGGAGGCAGCCCUUCCAACUCAGCUGAACACGUGACCACGUGACCACGUGACUACAGGAGUGGUGGCAAGUCCUUAAAUGCAACCUGGCACGAGAGUCAGCCCAGGAUGACCGCACAGCUUCUGCUGAGACAGGGUUUCUUCCAGGCUAAGAAUAAACAGUGGACACGAACGUCUUGGCACAAGGCGUUAACUCCAGGCCAAACUACUCCAGGAUGGCAGCACGGCCAGUCUACACUGUGGUCACUGGUGGGACCUGGCAAAGGCCUGGACUCCCCAGGCUGUGGGACCUGAUAGCUCAGCACAGUCGGGGACAUGUGUUUGAAAGAGGGAUAAGAAACCAGGACAGAGAGUUCAGACAGGCUGGGAGAGGGCAGAAGUAUGGGGACAACAGAUCUCAGUCCUUAGCUUGGUGCCCUUCCCUGGGAUCAGGAUGCGGAGAAGCUGUUGAAGAAGGAAAGGAGAGUAUGGUUUCAGAGAGCCCAGCAGAGCAAGCCCAUCAUGCUUGGGAAGGAAAUUCCAGGUCACAGUCCUACGAGGCAGGAAUAGUGACGUGGGGUGGUGACGUUGCCGGGCUGUGGGGUGGGCAGAACGAAGGGAAGUCACUAAUGAUCUUUCCUUAGGCCCCCGAUAUCCAGCAAAGGCCACGCGAGGGAGAAGCUGGUGACUCACAGCAGUUGUUGGAGCCUGCACGAUCUGCCAAGUAUAGCUUGGGCAGAUGGGUCCUGGCCCUUCUCACCCUCUCUUACCCUGCCCCUCCCUGUGUCGGGGGCAGUGGCAGCUGGCUGCCCUGACUGUGUUCUAUGUGGGGGUGCGGAGACAGUUAUCAGCCAAGGGAAGCCAUUGGUCCCCCCUAGUGUCUCCUUCAAGAAGGCCUCUUGUAUCCCAGUCCCAGGAAAGGGCACCAAACUAGGAGGCUGAGUCCUGUUGCCUGCAUAUUUCUACCCGGUCCAUCUAAACUCUCUGUCCUGGUUACCGGGCCCCUUUCUUCCCAUCUUAGAAGGAAACCUAGGGAAAAGUGUCCCUGGGAAUCCCGAGCUACCAGUUCCCACAGACCUGGGGAAGUCAGGGCUUUGCCAAGUCCCAUCAGUGGCUUGCUCAGCGGCUCCCAGCUUACGCAUGGCAAAGCACCUCGAUGGCAAAGCACAGCCUGGUCCUCAGAUUCAAGACAGAGACAUCAGUCUUGCCCACAUGGUGUCUACCCUAACUGCCUUACCCUUUCUCUUGGAUGUCCCACUUAAUUCCUACACCUGGGAUACUAGGCACCACUAAGGACUUCAAAGGAGCACGCUCCUCACCUCCCCAUAUCAAAAAUAGGGCAUUUUAAAAACGUUUUUAUUUAAUUAAAAAAAAGACGGAACUAAUAAUCCCAAACCACUGAUGGGUACAGGGUCACUGGGGCUUAACUGGUGAAACACACAGGGAAGGGGGGGUUGGGACAGAGGAAGGGCAGGAAGGUGGUCUCAGACCGAGUGUCCCUUCAGACAGGGAACCAGAUCUGAGCCUGUCAGCAGUAGGGUCCAGCUCUACUCCCUUUGUCCCACAGGAAGGGAAAAGCUGGAGACCAGGGUCCCCAGAAUGACGCCAGCAGCCAGUGGGAGAAAGACCGUGAGGGUUGGGACAGCUGAGGCCUUCUCCCUGUGUUCUACCCCUCUGUCUCUUUUCUUCCUAACUCUUUCUUGGAAUGGGCCUGUUGGAACCGGACAAGAGGUAGGAGUCAUCGGAACACAGCUUUCUAAUGUGGAAUCGUGGAAACCUUGGGGACCAGGGUUGGGAUGGUGGUGGCUUGUGUGGAAGUUUACCACAGGCUGCUCUAUUGCCAGAAGAGACAUCAGACUGGUCCUGGGUCUCCCUGGGGGCUGGGGCUUCCUUCAGCCUCAUUGGACGUUAUAAUGGUGGUGAGGACAGGGGAGGGUGGGUGGGGAGGGAGGCAGGGAGAGGGCCUGCAGCAGGGACAGACCACACACAUCUUGACAUUGGCACCUCACUGCUGCACAUGCUUUGACACAUACUGACGAGCCAACCUGGCCAGGAGGGAAUGGUUUUGAGCAAGCACAAAGGAGUCUUGGCAUGCUCACGUCUCAGCUCACCAGCUCAUAGGCAACUGGCUAUGAUACGGGUUGUCUUCUGGUGGUGGUGGUGGUGGUGGUGGUGGGCAAUAAAGGGCGGGCAGGAAAGGACAACUGGACCUGGAUCUGAACUCCGAGUUAGCCUAGGGGGGUGGGCUCCAUGAGCAGGUGACUGAGGUAAGAAUUGGCUUGUCAUUUCUAAGUGAGACAGUUACAGGGGAUGGGGGCGGGGGGCGCGUCACAGAUGACUGUUCAAAAUUGGAUUAAGAAGUCUCAAAAAGUAAGAAACGGUUGAUCCUUAGAAAGCACGUGUGUUAUAGAAAAGAGGGUGAGUCUCGCUUUCUGGAGAGUUCUUUCUAAACGGAACACGCUCAUGUGGUUUUGAUUUUUGUUCGCCUCAAGAGGAAGAGAGGAGUUGGUUGGACGAACUGUGGGACACAGAACUGAUCCUUGGAUUCGGGCAAAGCUAGAAAGCCCAGCGAGGCCCCUUGAGUCAAAUGUUCACCGAGUCCUGGAGCGGGCAGAAUAAAUGAUCAUGGCAGGAGUCGGGGGAGAUGUUGUUGAUCUUUCUGAGGAUAAAGAGGUGAGUCCAGCUUGAUCUUCGGCUGAUGUUCUCCGGGAUGCUGUGACUCCCAACCUCGUGGAAAUGGAUGCUCUUUCUUUCUUCUUUUUGGUCUCUGCCCACUCUCAGGUUCCCCUUUCUCAAGCUUGCACAUCUGUUUCAGAACACCAGUUUGGAGGUGGGGGCAUGGCCUGACCCAGCAGGGCCCUCU